AUUAUUAUUAUUUUGCCUGCUCUUUUCAAUUGCUUCGGUUUUAAGUUGAAUAACAGAUUGUCUUAGAGAUCCAAUUUGUGAUGCUUGUAGGUACAACUAAAAUCAAGAGUUUCAACACUUGGAUGCUUUUGUGGUGCCCAAGAGAUUGUUCAUGUAGAGGAGCAGUUGAGCACAGUUGCUUGAAGUAGCAACGAUUAUUAUAGUAACCAAACAAGCAUCAAAAGCUAGUGACACACCUUUACACAUUAUAACCUUUAAUUCCUUUUAAAGUUGUAAUAUUUGAAUCGAACUUUACUCUUUUCAUCGGGAUAAUUGAACUCAAUAACACCAAUGCAGGAUGCUCUUUAUCUUUCUCAACAAAGAUUGCAUGUGUUGGUAAUGUAUAUAUGUCAUGCAUUUUGAAUAAGAACUUGGUUUUUAUGUUGGAUAUAAGCUUA